rnacentral:lncRNA from 1 species
UAUUUUAUUUUUUAUUUGUUGUAGAAAUGGAGUCUCACUGUGUUUCCCAGACUGGUCUUGAACUCUUGACUUCAAGCAAUCCUCCUGCCUCAGCCUCCCAAAGUGGCUGGAUUACAGGUGCAAGCCAUGCCUGGCUGACAUCUGGACGUUUUAAAACAGACUUCUGAAAACCACACAGGUCAAAAAAGAAAUUAUUACCCUAGAGAAACUGAUAUCUGAACAGUAAUGAAAAAUUUUAUAUCAAAAUGUGGGAUGCAGCUAAAGAAACACAUCAAGGUAAAUGGAGAGUUUAAGUGCCUGUAUUAAAGAGGAAGAGAUUGAACAUGAGCUAUGCAUGAAACUCAAAAAAAGAAUGAACUCAAAGAAGUCACAUCCUAUCAAAGGAGAAAAAGAGGAGAUACAGAAGAAACAUUAGGAAGACGGAGGGAAACAAGCUCCAUUGCGUGUGGUGGACCAAGCCCCUCCGCUUCUCCCUCCGCCCUGCUUAGCUGCAGCUGGAGUUUCAGGAGCUGAAAGCCGCCGUGGUCCCCAAGGAAGGCUCGGUGCCCGACACAGUCUUGCUGGCCGCUGUGAUAAUGCCUGGUUCCCUCCCAAUGGCGCAAGAAUUGCUUCCAUUUUAAUUUCAUUCAGAUCUGAAUAAAAG